CUGGAGGAACUACAGGCAAAUAUACAACCACAGCCUUUAAGGUAGGCCUCUAAACAUAGGUCAGGGCCCUGAUGGUACUAAUAGGCCUUAACUAAUAGGCCUCACCUGGGCCCUCUACUAAUAGCCCCUGCUCAACAAUCCUAUUUAAACUCAAGCUGGGGUCUUCAGGCCUGUUUUGAGCCCUGUUCUGUAACUUGAUACACCUUUAUUUUUGGCAAUGAACACUACUGAGCAAGGCCCCAGUACCCAGGCUGAUUUUCUGGCCCAAUCCUGGAUGUGCCUUGCCAGUGUGGGCCUGACAGGCCAUUUUUGGAUCUGACCCAUGGAUUGUCUUCAUGGUUGUCUUUGAACCUGCCUCAUCACCCUGAAUGUCUCUAGAUGUCUCUAGUUAUCUAGGGUCUUGGCUGAGCUUGGUUGCUUUCCAGGCUGGCUUGGCUUGGAUGUGUGCGAUGGGCUUCUGGCUGGUAAGGCCCUUAUGCUGCGAGUCCUUGCUGCUCCUUGACAAUGUGCUUGGUGCCUUGAAUGUAGAUCUCUUUGAAAUUCCUACAUUUGCUGUUUUAACUGUGGAACUGUCCCCUCUUCAAAGCAGCUGUUAUAGCAAAGAAACUCCAGUGUCCUCUGCUGUUCAAUUCAACCAGACCAAGUGUCAACAAGGAAGCAGCUAAUCAAAGGCUGUUAGCAUGAUGAAGAGAUGAAGGCCAACAUAAUACUACUGAAGGUUGCCUAAAAGGGACUGGAAACCACCAGGGGGAGAGGAAAGAAGACAGAGUGAAUGCUGUUACUUAGGUAAUAAGCUUUAGCUUCACGGCAAACAAAAACCGAAGAGGAGAGGAUGUUGCUCACCUGUAUCUGGAUCUGAAAGAGCCCAAGAACAUGAAAGUCAAAAUAAUCAGCAAGUGUUCACCAUUUAUUUUCCUUUCCUCCAUGCCACUGAGCAUUACUUGGCUUUCCUGUCUCUUGAUGUCCUGUUGCCUUAGUGUCAGAGAGCAGAGAUCUUGAGCAAGCCAUGCAAUUUCCUGCUCCACUUCAGGGCCUGCUAGGGAAGGCAAGGGGUUUCCAGCUGCCUUGGACAAGCAGGGGUUGCCGAUCCUACGGGCUAGUGGCCAGUACAUUUGCUUUGUUCAUUGUAGCCUUCGUUGGGAUGUGAAGAGUGCCAGCCACGGAUUUCAUUAAUUCCACCAUCAGUAGGUCUGAAUUCAUUGCCACUAAUACAAUGCCUUUUUCUAUAUACUGUGCCAGGGGUAUUUUUUUGACACCAUGUGUGACCUCCUGUUAUUUCUCAACAAAUGUUGGCAGGCGCAACACAGCCGGCAGAGCAAAACAGCACAGUGUGUCACAAACUGCUGAGUGCAUCCAUGCUGAAAUGAACAGCCAAUUCCAAAGUGGGCUGAAAAUGAAAUCAGGGAGAAAAGAAUACAUACUAAUAUUGCUCCCUUCUCCUCCAGCUUUGCUUCCUUUUGCACAUUACCUCCGUUGAACUGGACUCAGGCAACAACUAGAACAAGACAGUAUUUUUUUUUUUAUUUUCUAGCCUUCUAAAAAUUGCCCAUACUACUGUAGCUGCAGUUUCAAAGCUAAUCCAAAGCAAUUUACCAAUCAGUUCCUUCCUCUGAGCUGAUGUUCAUCCUGCUUUUUACCUUUCUACAGGAAGUUUUGACCUGGUCAAAUCACUUACUACAAAUAACUCCUGUGGUUAAUGGUGGUCUUAAUCACUGUAAACGCACUUUUCCCUCUCUCCUUUUUUUUUCUGGGGUGUAGUUUCUCCUCUCCACAUUGCUGUGUACUUGCUGCUGUGGAAGAGGAGAGCAGGGAGAAGUGUUGCAGACAGCCUGAACUUGUCCAGUGACAGAAAUAGUUGUGAAAGCUUUAACAGUGCCGAUGCAGGACAGGGCUGUGUAAUGUUGCAGAGCAUGUAUGUAGGGGAUGCUGGGUUUGCUUCUUUAUUAAUAAUCACCUGCAUUGUGUGCUAGGGAGCAGCCAUGCCUGAAACUCCCCACCACACCAACUUGGUCUCACUGCAUGCCUCUCCCCUCUGCUCAAGCCACCGAGGGGCUCAGUCACUGCUGCCAGCCCAGGGCUCUGCCUGCUCUGCCUCACACAUUCAGCCCUCGGGGAAUUCAGCUCAGGUUGGUUAACGGCGUUCAGCUCUGUCCCUCAGGGU